GAUGAAGAACGCAGUGAAAUGCGAUAAGUAAUGUGAAUUGCAGAAUUCAGUGAAUCAUCGAAUCUUUGAACGCACAUUGCGCCCGCCAGCACUCUGGCGGGCAUGCCUGUUCGAGCGUCAUUUCAACCAUCAAGCCCCCAGGGGCUUGUGCUGGGGCCCUGCGGCUGCCCGCAGGCCCUGAAAACCAGUGGCGGGCUCGCUAGUCACACCGAGCGCAGUAGCACAUCUCGCUCAGGGCGUGCGGCGGGCUCCUGCCGUGAAACCCCCCACUGUAACCCCAAAGGUUGACCUCGGAUCAGGUAGGAAUACCCGCUGAACUUAAGCAUAUCAAUACGGAGGA
rnacentral:misc_RNA from 1 species